GAGGGUGACAGGUGGUGCAUGGUUGUCGUCAGCUCGUGUCGUGAGAUGUUGGGUUAAGUCCCGCAACGAGCGCAACCCUCGACCUUAGUUGCCAGCAUUCAGUUGGGCACUCUAAGGUGACUGCCGGCUAAAAAGUCGGAGGAAGGUGGGGAUGACGUCAAAUCAUCAUGCCCCUUAUGACCUGGGCUACACACGUGCUACAAUGGGCGGUACAAAGGGUCGCGAACCCGCGAGGGGGAGCCAAUCCCAAAAAGCCGCUCUCAGUUCGGAUUGCAGGCUGCAACUCGCCUGCAUGAAGCCGGAAUCGCUAGUAAUCGCGGAUCAGCAUGCCGCGGUGAAUACGUUCCCGGGCCUU
rnacentral:rRNA from 1 species